AGGACCGAAUGUGAGAAUCGCACAGUUGAAGAAGUGAAAAAGCGUCAUCGUCCACCGUCGCACUCUCUUUCUGGUACCAAAUCAGUAGCUACAGCUCCGGCGACUCAAAGACGACGACGUGAAGCUGUGAAAUUGAAGAAGAAGAAGAGGUUUCUGAUCUCUGAAAGUCUGAAACUCUGAUGGAAUCAACAAAACUCUUAGUGGGUUUUGAUUUGGGUCGUUAUUGGGCCGUAAAAGUUUUUGUUCAAUUUCUUGAGAGCUAGUUUUCAUAUUGUUGCACCAAAAUGAGAGUUAUCUUUGUUGUAAAAUGAACUGAAUUUAGUGACUUAUUUUUUAUUGUCAUCUGAAAUUUAUUAAAGGAGAUUGAAAUUACAUAUAUUUUCAUUUUUUGAUUAUUAUGGUUUUCAAGAAUAAUGUAUUUUGAUUUAUCUAUUGAAUUUUUUUUGAGUAAUUCAAAUUUUAUUAUUCAAAGUUUAUGUUAUUCACUACUUAACACCUAAAAAAUCUAAUCAUGUUUCACAAUGAUAUGUUUUAUACGUAUUUUUUUGGACUACUUAAUGCAUAUAAUAGUUUUUUUUUUGUUUAUGCAGUGUUUUGAAAGAGUUACCCAAAAACAAAAAUCGUUGUUAUGUCAUCGAUUUAUUCAUAUCAGAUAUGUAUAUUGGUUUAGUUGAUAUAAGUUGGUUUAGUAGAACCAUUGUAUAGUGUAAAGUAUAUAAGACAUUUGUACAGAAUCAUUUUACAAUUAAUGAGAAAAGCCUUCAUAAUAUCUUCAACAAACUUUUCUCUCAUCUCUAUUCCGCUAAUAUGGUAUCAAAGCCUUCCAAGCUCAAAACUCCAUUGUUUUCGAUCUGAUUUCUUCAUUCUCAGCUCAAGUUCGUCUUCUUCGUUGUUCUCGCUCCAGAUACAAUGGUGACAGCUAGAGUUACUCGGAAAUCCACUCGAUCGAAGUCCGGUACAAGUUCUGCAGCUCGAAAAUCAUCGCGAUCCACCGGUGUUGAUGAAUCUCCUCCGAUCUCUCCUCCAGUUCACAAAUCCAACGUUUCUGGAGCUUCGCGAGUCAUCGCACCACCGGAAUCCGUUGAUCCGACUCAGUCUCCCUUCUUCUUGCAUAGUGCAGAUCAUCCAGGUUUGAAUAUCAUAUCUCAUCGUCUUGAUGAAACAAACUAUGGUGAUUGGAAUGUUGCUAUGCUUAUCUCCUUAGAUGCUAAGAAUAAAUCUGGAUUUAUUGAUGGAACUCUCCCUCGUCCGUUGGAAUCGGAUAAGAAUUUUCGUCUUUGGUCUAGAUGCAAAAGCAUGGUGAAGUCUUGGUUAUUGAAUUCUGUAUCUCCUCAGAUCUAUAGGAGCAUUCUCCGUAUGAAUGAUGCUUCUGAUAUAUGGCGUGAUCUUCACAGUCGUUUCAAUGUGACUAAUCUCCCACGCACAUAUAAUCUUACUCAAGAGAUCCAGGAUUUUCGCCAAGGUACAUUGUCUUUGUCUGAGUACUAUACUCGCCUCAAGACAUUGUGGGAUCAAUUAGAAAGUACAGAGGAACUAGAUGAUCCCUGUAUUUGUGGUAAGGCUAUGCGUUUGCAACAGAAGGCAGAGCAAGCUAAGAUAGUGAAAUUGUUAGCUGGUUUGAAUGAUUCUUAUGCUAUCAUUCGCAGACAGAUCAUUGCUAAGAAAGCACUCCCAAGUUUAGCAGAGGUGUAUCACAUUCUGGAUCAAGACAACAGUCAACAAGGUUUUUCCAAUGUGGUUGCUCCACCGGCUGCUUUUCAGGUCUCUGAGGCAAUGAUGGCUACUAACAAUGAUGUGAAUAUGCUAUGUUCAGAGUGGUCCAAACAAGGGCAGACCGAUUUGUUCUUUCUGUAAUAGGGUUGGACAUAUUGCAGAAAGAUGCUAUAAAAAGCAUGGAUUCCCUCUUGGUUUUACUCCUAAAGGCAAAGGUGGUGACAAGUCUCAGGUGAUAGAUUCAGGAGCAAUACAUCAUGUAUCUCAUGAUAAGAGUCUUUUCUUGAAUUUGGAUACUUCUGUUGUGAGUGCAGUGAAUUUACCAGCUGGUCCUACUGUAAGAAUCAGUGGUGUUGGUACAUUGCGACUUAAUGAUGACAUUCUUCUCAAGAAUAUCUUAUUCAUUCCUGAGUUUCGCCUGAAUCUAAUCAGUAUAAGUUCUCUGACUGAUGACAUUGGUUCACGAGUAAUAUUUGAUAAGACUUCUUGUGAAAUUCAGGAUCCUAUCAAGGCUCGGAUGCUUGGUCAAGGUAGGAGAAUUGCGAAUCUAUAUGUGCUGGAUAUUGAAGAUCCUAUUGUCUCAGUGAAUGCAGUGGUUGAUAUCAGUAUGUGGCAUCGAAGACUUGGUCAUGCUUCUCUACAGAGAUUGGAUGUUAUUUCAGACUCUUUGGGGACUACUAAGCCUAAGAAUAAAGGCUCAGAUUAUUGUCAUGUUUGUCAUUUAGCUAAACAGAGAAAGUUACCCUUCCCUUCUCAGAAUAAAGUUUGUAAUGAAAUCUUUGAUUUGUUACACAUUGACAUUUGGGGUCCUUUUUCAGUUGAGACAGUGGAUGGCUAUAAAUAUUUUUUGACAAUUGUGGAUGAUCAUUCCAGAGCUACAUGGAUUUAUUUGCUUAGAAACAAGUCAGAAGUUCUUACUGUGUUUCCUGCUUUCAUUGAACAAGUUGAGAAUCAGUAUAAAGUGAGAGUAAAGGCAGUGAGAUCAGAUAAUGCACCAGAAUUGAAAUUCACAAGUUUAUAUCAGCAGAAAGGGAUUGUUUCGUUUCAUUCCUGUCCUGAAACACCGGAGCAGAAUUUAGUGGUUGAGCGUAAACAUCAACACAUACUCAAUGUUUCUCGGGCUCUCAUGUUCCAAUCUCAGGUACCACUCUCUCUUUGGGGUGAUUGUGUGUUAACGGCUGUGUUUCUUAUCAACAGGACACCUUCCCAGCUCUUAUCAAACAAGACUCCAUAUGAGAUUCUCACUGGUACAGUUCCUGUUUAUGAGCAGUUUCGAACCUUUGGUUGUUUGUGUUACAGUUCUACUUCGCCAAAAAAAGACAUAAGUUUCAGCCGAGAUCUAAAGCGUGUGUGUUUUUGGGAUAUCCUGCUGGUUACAAGGGGUACAAGUUAAUGGAUUUGGAGAGUCACACUGUGUUUAUCUCAAGGAAUGUUGUUUUUCAUGAGGAGGUAUUUCCAUUGGCUGUGGAUCCAAAGUCAGAGAGUUCUUUGAAGUUGUUUACUCCAAUGGUUCCUGUGUCCUCAGGUAUUACACAAUCUCCUAUCUCUUCUCUUCCAUCACAAAUUUCUGAUCUACCACCACAAAUUUCUUCACAGAGAGUUAGGAAACCUCCUGCUCAUCUGUCAGAUUAUCAUUGCAACAUCACGCAAUCUAAUCACAAAUAUCCUAUUUCCUCUACUAUCUCUUACUCUAAAAUUUCUCCAUCUCACAUGUGUUAUAUCAAUAAUAUCACAAAAAUUCCUAUUCCCACCACAUUUGCUGAGGCACAGGACACCAAAGAAUGAUGUGAGGCUGUUGAUGCAGAGAUUGGUGCUAUGGAAACUACACACACUUGGGAGAUUACUACUUUACCUGCAGGGAAGAAGGCAGUAGGGUGUAAAUGGGUAUUCAGUUUGAAGUUUUUGGCAGAUGGCAGUCUUGAGCGGUAUAAGGCUAGAUUGGUUGCUAAGGGUUACACUCAGAAAGAAGGUCUAGACUAUACAGAUACUUUCUCUCCAGUGGCAAAGAUGACUACAAUCAAGUUGUUAUUGAAGAUUUCUGCCUCUAAGAAAUGGUUCUUAAAACAGCUUGAUGUGUCUAAUGCUUUCUUGAAUGGUGAGUUAGAGGAAGAGAUUUACAUGAAGUUACCUGAAGGUUAUGCGGCAAGGAAAGGUAUCACUCUACCUCCUAAUUCAGUCUGUCGAUUGAAGAGAUCCAUUUAUGGUUUGAAACAGGCCUCUCGUCAGUGGUUUAAGAAGUUUUCUGCUUCAUUACUUGAUUUGGGUUUUAAGAAGACACAUGGUGAUCAUACUUUGUUUAUUAAAGAGUAUGAUGGAGAAUUUGUGAUUGUUUUGGUUUAUGUUGAUGAUAUUGCUAUUGCGAGUACAAGUGAAGGUGCUGCAAUACAAUUGACUCAGGAUUUACAACAGCGAUUCAAGUUAAGAGAUCUUGGGGAUUUGAAAUAUUUUUUGGGUCUUGAGAUUGCUAGAACUGAAGCUGGUAUUUCUAUCUGCCAGAGAAAGUAUGCUCUUGAGUUAUUAGCAUCUACUGGUAUGGUUAACUGUAAACCUGUUUCAGUUCCCAUGAUCCCGAAUGUGAAGAUGAUGAAGACUGAUGGUGAUUUGUUGGAUGAUAGAGAACAAUACCGUCGUAUUGUAGGAAAGCUGAUGUAUUUGACAAUUACUAGACUUGACAUCACCUUUGCAGUUAACAAGUUAUGUCAGUUUUCCUCUGCUCCUAGGACGUCUCAUCUUCAAGCUGCUUAUCGAGUUUUACAAUAUAUCAAAGGCAGUGUUGGCCAAGGUCUGUUCUAUUCUGCAUCUGCAGAUCUUACUCUUAAAGGUUUUGCAGAUUCAGAUUGGGCUUCCUGUCCAGAUAGUAGGAGAUCAACAACUGGAUUCAGCAUGUUUGUGGGUGAUUCAUUGAUAUCUUGGCGUUCCAAGAAACAGCAUGUGGUUUCCAGAUCUUCUGCAGAGGCUGAGUACCGUGCCUUA
rnacentral:sRNA from 1 species